CUCAUUUUGCGCAGCCGCCCGCUCACUCCUCUCGUCUCUGCUCUUUACUUUCCCUAGCACACUGAGAAAAACAGCUCAAAUAGCUUCUUUGAUCAUGAUUUUGAGCGAUUUGAAGGCCGAUUCAGAAGAAGUAUUAGUUGAAGAAAAGAUAGAUCAAGGCAUGAUUUCAUCACUUUGUGGAGCCAUUUGGAGCUUAUGGAGUAGGAUUUGCCGUGUGAAGUGAACUACGAAGUUGAAGAUCAAGGUAAAAAAUAUCAUCUGAGUAGCAAACAAUGAGGAGAUGGUGUGAUUGAAGAAAUUGUGUUUCGAUCUUUGAUGUCCCUUUUGAGGUUGAGUCCAUUGAUAUAUUACUGGUGAUAUGUUCAUGCUGACGGAUUUUUUUUGAACUAUUGUGGCGCUUAAUUUUAUUCAGAACAACAUCCAAAUUGAAGCUGAGGACAUACCCGAUCGUACAUGUGACGAUGAGGACACCCAACAUGGCCUGAACACACACAUACGGGGAGCAUCACAUGAUCAUGGCGACAUGGUUAUAGCAUUAGUUACAGAUUUCUUUGGAGGGGACGUUAUUGGCCCAUCUUUUAUCCCUGAGGAGUCACAACCAUACGUCUACAAUUACGCAUCAGGAUCGCAACAAGGAUUCCAUUCUCCAUCACCUACGCAGGAGUCGUAGACACAUGAAGCCGAAGGGGAGUACGGCCGCGGUCUUCGUGUAACUCGACCACCUAAUCGCUUGACGCUUUCCGGUCCUUGGGAAAGGCUAGGUGGCCGUCGUCGACUAGGAUGAUUCAUUUAUCUACGUGUGCGACCUAUUGUAUCUACCUAUAUCAGUUUUAGACUUACCGAUGUAUGUAAUAAACAUCUAUGUAUGAGGACCUGCCGCUACUGGACCAGGCGACAACAAUGUUUCUCACGUAUACCUCCCGCCAUAGUUUCUCGCUUCUAAGUUCUCGCAUUUAUCUUGCACCGUCGUUUCCCGCCUAUAUCUCCUGCCAUAGUUUCCCGCCUAUAUCUCCUGCCAUAGUUUCCCGCCUAUAUCUCCCGCCAUAUUUUCCUGCUUUCUUAGUUCCCGCUAUCUAGUUCCUGCCAUAUUUUCCCGCCUCCGAGUUGCCGCCUCUGUUUGUGUUCUCAACCUAUAAAACACCCUCGACACUAACUUGGGUAAACAUUCUAGUGUAAUCUCGUAGUCUUGCCAAGAUGUCCGGAUAUCCUUUUGAUCGUAGUUUCACCCUCGUAUGUCUCAGUGCCUUCUGGAUUUAGCUGCCGAUUUCAGGGUAGACAACAUAUUAGUUCCAUGGGACAAAUUCAUCAAUACUGACACCCUACUGAAUGAACUGGCUCACACAUUAAGUAGGUGCGAGUGGCCUUCCAGGACCUUUGAGGAGAUACAGAAAGAACUUCUCAGGUUGCAUGGAAAAUGGAUGAAGCAACAGAGUAAGGGUGAAUCAUACCUAAAGUUUGCAGCAGAAAAUACUUUUUUAUGGACUAUGGACAGCGAGGAUGAAGACGAUAUCUUCACGCCGAGUACCAAGGCCAAGAGUUCUGCAUCGUCGAAGGGCAAGAGUUCUGCAUCGUCGAAGAGCAAGAGUUCUGCAUCGACAGAGGAUGACGAUGAUGCCUUCAUGUAGUUUUUAAGCUGUAUUUUUAGUUUUUAAGUUCAUUUCUACUGUUUAAUUCAGAUAUACUUGCAUUAUUAGUUUGUACUGCCUUAUUGUACGGUCAUUAUGUUUGAUC